rnacentral:rRNA from 1 species
UACGAAGGGGGCUAGCGUUGCUCGGAAUCACUGGGCGUAAAGGGCGCGUAGGCGGCACUGUUAGUCAGGCGUGAAAGUCCUGGGCUCAACCUGGGAACUGCGCUUGAUACGGCAGAGCUAGAGGAUGGAAGAGGGUCGCGGAAUUCCCAGUGUAGAGGUGAAAUUCGUAGAUAUUGGGAAGAACACCGGUGGCGAAGGCGGCGACCUGGUCCAUUACUGACGCUGAGGCGCGACAGCGUGGGGAGCAAACAGG